rnacentral:rRNA from 1 species
GGGGGCUUCGGCUCGUCGACUUUAGAGUUGGCCCAAGUGGGAUUAGCUAGUUGGUGAGGUAAUGGCUCACCAAGGCGACGAUCCCUAGCGUAGGUUGAGAGGAUGAUCAGCCACGACUGGGACUGAGACACGGCCCAGACUCCUACGGGGAGGCAGCAGUCGGGGAAUAUUGCACAAUGGGCGCAAGGCCUUGGAUGCGAGCCCAUGCCGCGUGUGUGAAGAAGGCCUUCGGGUUGUAAAGCACUUUCAGUCAGGAGGAAAGCGUGGUGGUUAAUACCCAUCAUGUGUGACGUUACUGACAGAAGAAGCACCGGCUAACUCCGUGCCAGCAGCCGCGGUAA